AAAUGGGAGGGUAGAUAUGGGUUACAACCUAAAAAUAGACACGGAAUAAAAAUUUAAAACUUUUAUAAAGGAGGACUUGAAUGUAAUUAAAUCUAAAUAAAUUUAAUGAAAUCGAAUCUAAGACAUGCACACAUCGCCCGUCACUCUCACCCCAAGGCGAGAUAAGUCGUAACAAAGUAGGUGUAACGGAAGUUGCACCUGU
rnacentral:rRNA from 1 species